UGAGGAAUAUUGCCCAAUGGAGGAAACUCUGAGGCAGCGACGCCGCGUGGGUGAAGAAGGCCUUCGGGUCGUAAAGCCCUUUUCUGCGUGACGAGCAAGGACGGUAGCGCAGGAAAAACGUCUCGGCUAACUACGUGCCAGCAGCCGCGGUAAAACGUAGGAGGCAAGCGUUAUCCGGAGUUACUGGGCGUAAAGCGCGCGCAGGCGGACUUGUAAGUGGGUUGUGAAAGCGCCCGGCUAAACCGGGCGAGGACAAAUCAGACUGCAGGUCUAGAGGCGGAUAGAGGAGCGUGGAAUUCCGGGUGUAGCGGUGAAAUGUGUAGAGAUCCGGAGGAACACCAGUGGUGCAAACGACGCUCUGGGUCCGAACUGACGCUGAGGCGCGAAAGCGUGGGGAGCGAA
rnacentral:rRNA from 1 species